GGUGAGGACAUCACUGGACAAACCCAGAUCGUGAGACAUUCAAAACACAGUUGGUCCAGACUUUUCAAAAACGUCAAUGUCAUUAAAAAGGAAGGAAAAAAGCAUUCCCUCUGGAAUACAUCAGCACUGUUGCCUUUGAGGCUGGCCUGCUUGAAUGCACACCUGAGCUCCGGAUUCACAGCAAUUUCUUGGAUGAUUCACAGUGGAGGAAGCCAGAUGCCAUGUCAUGAGGGUGCUCAAGCAACUUUUUGGAGAUGUAUGUAUGGAGAGAAACUGAGGCCUCCUGCCAACAGCCAGCACUAACUUGGCAAGCAUGUUUGAGAGCCACCUGGGAAGUGGAGCCUUCAGCCCCAGUUAAGCCUUCAGAUGAGACUGCAGUCCUGGCCACCAUCUGGACUGCAACUUCACAAGAGCUCCUAAGCCAGAGCCAUGCAGAUGGAUUCUUGGCCCCCAGAAAUUGUGCCACUACAUUUUGGGAAAUUUAUUAUGCAGCCAUAGAUUACCAAUACACUCACUAUUUCUUUUUUCUGAUGCCAUACUA
ensembl:lncRNA LINC01638 long intergenic non-protein coding RNA 1638